CUCCUCUCCAAAACAAAUGGACCAGUUGAUUUACACAGGUCAUGAUGUCUCUGUCUUAAACACCAGUGUCGCUCAGACCUGUAACCCUUGGACCUCAGCUGAGGGAUGCCAGUUUCAGCGCAGCCACCAGAGGGACUUUGGCCUGUUGUUUAAGUUUUUUUGGAGACACUUGGACAGAGAUUUGAUCCACCUACCCUCAACUCUGUUAUGGGAUCAUUUUGCUUGUAUUAAGUCUUGAUAUACAAAUAAUAAAGUUAUUUUUCUGCA